rnacentral:rRNA from 1 species
UAAUACGGGGGGAGCAAGCGUUGUUCGGAUUUACUGGGCGUAAAGGGCGCGUAGGCGGUCAGUGCAAGUCAGUUGUGAAAUCUCUGGGCUUAACCCAGAACGGUCAACUGAUACUGCUCGACUAGAGUGCAGAAGGGGCAACUGGAAUUCUCGGUGUAGCGGUGAAAUGCGUAGAUAUCGAGAGGAACACCUGCGGCGAAGGCGGGUUGCUGGGCUGACACUGACGCUGAGGCGCGAAAGCUAGGGGAGCGAACGGGAUUAGAUACCCCGGUAGUCCUAGCCUUAAACGAUGAAUGCUUGGUGUCUCGGGUUAUAAAGUCCCGGGGUGCCGUCGCUAACGCAUUAAGCAUUCCGCCUGGGGAGUACGGUCGCAAGACUG